UAAUUCACUUGACAGUUGGCAGUCAGUUAUCACCUUGGCUAGAAGUAAUAGUGUUCUGUGGUUAUCACAGCCUGUGCUGGAUAUUUGUUGAAAUGUGUUCGAAAUCACUGAAUACGGUACAUCAUUAAUGAAAAACGAACGAACGGCUAUGCGACUACGGAAUAUUAUGUUACAAGAAAACUGUGUACUUAAAGUUUCCUUCAGAGAAAUCACGGAAGUCAAGCAUCGCCUUAUAGGACUCGUCACUGCCAAACAUCAAAUGCAUAACAGUCGGCGACUACAAGUUCUAUUCUAUUUAAGUGAAGACGAAGCUUCCCCUCCCAUGAAGAGUAUAUUGAGGGUGUGUGCUUGGCUGUAUCCACGUCCCUACCACAAUAGUUGACAAUAGUAACACUAUAUUGUCGGUUCUUCUUGGCGUUGUAGCGACCGAAACAGCAUAACCCGUGAAUCAGUCACACUUUAUCGCAAACCACGUUAUGGAACUUCGUUGCAGUACAUAAAUACUUUGCAAGCUUCUCAACUGGCACACUAUAGCUGUUAUACAUCAUAGAAAAUUUACUAUACAUACAAUUUCUUUUUAAACAUGUUUUACUAACAUAUUUUUGAUUGAUCAAAGAAAAUCACCAUUGAAAUUUUAAGAUAGUUAAACCUUAUUUAUUCGAAGAGUUAAACUCAUGUUUUUCGUGUUACACAUGUCAAUGAUAUAUUUGUCUAUUUAAAUUUUAUUAAACUACUUUGAUUUUAGUACCUACUACUAAUAAAUAUAAACCAAAAAAAAUAAGAAAGAAAAUGAUCAGACGUAAAUGCACAACUACCACAACCACUGCAAAUUUUAUGCAAUAAUAAACAUUUUCUGUCUGAGAAUUGGAGUCCAGAAAUCAUAAAAAAAUAAAAAACCUAA